rnacentral:rRNA from 1 species
CAGCACCUCAAGUGGUCAGGAUGAUUAUUGGGCCUAAAGCAUCCGUAGCCGGCGCUGUAAGUUUUCGGUUAAAUCCGUACGCUCAACGUACAGGCUGCCGGGAAUACUGCAGAGCUAGGGAGUGGGAGAGGUAGACGGUACUCGGUAGGAAGGGGUAAAAUCCUUUGAUCUAUUGAUGACCACCUGUGGCGAAGGCGGUCUACCAGAACACGUCCGACGGUGAGGGAUGAAAGCUGGGGGAGCAAACCGGAUUAGAUACCCGUGUAGUCC